CCUACGGGGGGCAGCAGUGAGGAAUAUUGGUCAAUGGGCGGAAGCCUGAACCAGCCACGUAGCGUGCAGGAUGACGGCCCUACGGGUUGUAAACUGCUUUUAUACGGGAAUAACGCGCCUUAUGUGUAGGGCUUUGCAUGUACCGUAUGAAUAAGGACCGGCUAAUUCCGUGCCAGCAGCCGCGGUAAUACGAAGGGUCCGGGCGUUAUCCGGAUUUCUUGGGUUUAAAGGGAGCGUAGGCCGGAUGGCAAGCGUGCUGUGAAAUGUCCGGGCUCAACCCGGGCCUUGCAGCGCGAACUGGCGUGCUUGAGUCCGCGGAAGGCAGGCGGAAUUCGUCGUGUAGCGGUGAAAUGCUUAGAUAUGACGAAGAACCCCGAUUGCGAAGGCAGCUUGCUGCAGCGGAACUGACGCUGAUGCUCGAAAGCGCGGGUAUCGAACAGGAUUAGAUACCCGUGUAGUC
rnacentral:rRNA from 1 species